rnacentral:lncRNA from 1 species
GCGACUGCUUCUCCCGCCGACCUCGUCCGAUGCGCGGCCGCCUGGAGGCGACGACGCCAUCCUGCGCCACGGUGCCCUCCACGGCGUAGGCUUCUCCUAGCACAGCUACCAUACGCUGCCCAUGGGCAACGGGCACAUCCUCAUCAUCUUCUCGCCGUCAGUUGAAGAUAGUCUUCCUGAACAGGUUCAGUUUUAUGUCACUAGCUUAGCACUGAUGGUGAUUUAGCCCAGUUUGUAUGUUGCAAAUUUUAUGUGAUUCAUUUUUUCUCAGUCAUUCAUGAAUUUUCAGAAACUGUUUUUACUUUCUGUUGUGAUGCUAAUUGACAAAUAUUGCAUGCCAAUCUUUUUUUGAAAUUAUAGUUGAUGGCAUGUCAAAAUAUGUUUUUUGCCAUGUCAACCCAACUUUUGCUGCCAUCCCAAUUUAAAUUAUUUUUUUACCAUGGCAAUCAUCAUAGUUUGUUGCAUGGAAAACACAAAAUAUGUUGCCAUGUCGAAAUACUGUUUUACAUUGCCAUGGCAUAUGUUUUUACUUUUUACCAUGUCCCUGAAGCUGUGAGUAGUACUAUUUUUUCAUCGCAAUUUAUAGAUGUUCUUCUCAAUAAAUCGUGACAAUUUCUUUGUAGAUGUCGCCAUUUUUUCACUAGCUCCCACCAAUUUUUUGUUUGCAAAUUUUUGUAGAUCUCGCUAUUUAGAAUUGUGUAGUUAUUUGUCCAGGCACUUUUUUUGCAGAUGAUGAGAUGCUAAUGGACUAGAUUUCCUUGGCAAUUCUAGGAAACUAUAGUUCAUGGACACCCCCACAAUGUACAGUUUAUGACAAUCAAAUUAUGUUUUUUGCCAUCGAAUCUCAAAUCUUACAUGUGUUAAUAUGUCCCCAUCGAAACUUAAUUGCCAUGCUUGUGUCUUUUCUUUAGGGUACAUUACAGAUUUACAGAUAUAUCACAUUCUCUUUUGCCAUGGCAACUUUUGAUUUUGGAUAUGUCCCCAUCGAAACUUAAUUGUCAUGCUUGUGUCUUUUCUUUAGGGUACAUUACAGAUUUAUUGCAUUCUUGCCAUGGCAACUUUUUAUUUUGGAUAUGUCCCCAUCGAAACUUAAUUGCCAUGCUUGUGUCUUUUCUUUUAGGGUACAUUACAGAUUUAUUGCAUUUCUUACCAUGAAAACUUUUGAUUUUGGAUCAUAACGCAAAUUUAUUGUCUUUUACCAUAGCAUUUUUUUGGUACACCAUGGCAACUAAUCUUAUACUUUUUGCCAUCUAAACUUUCAAAUUUUAGUUUAUUGAUCAUGGCAAAUUUAGUUCUCGGAUCAUGGCAAAUUCAUUGCUUUCUUGCCAUGGCAACUUUUUUAUUUUUUAAAAUUGUCGCUGUAAUUCUUUAAAUUGUCAAAAACAACACAAAUGGCAAAUAUUGCCAUGGCAAGUUAUACUAAUUAUUUCACCUUUAUUAACAUGGCGAAUUUAGCUAAAUCCCCAUGACAAUUUUUAACUUUUAUUGCCAUGGCAAGUUUACUAUUUAUUAUCCUUGGACAAUUUACCUUUUAUUAACAUGGCAAAUUUGCCUAAAUCCUCAUGGCAAUAUCUAACUUUUAUUGCCAUGACAAGUUUUACUAUUUAUUUGACUUUUAUUAACAUGGCAAAUUUUACCUAAAUCCCCAUGGCAAUAUCAAACUUUUAUUGCCAUGGCAAGUUUUACUAUUUAUUUGCCAUGGCUAAUAUACCUUCAUUAACAUGCCAAAUUCACCUAAAUCCCCAUGGCAAUAUUUAACUUUUAUUGCCAUGGCAAGUUUUACUUUUUAUUUGCCAUGGCUAAUUUACCUUUAUUAACAUGGCAAAUUUACCUAAAUUCCCAUGGCAGUUUUUAACUUUUAUUGUCAUUGCAAGAUUCACUAUUAUUUGAUCUUUAUUAACAUGGCAGAUUUUACUUUUAUUUUUGCAUGCCAAUUAUUAAUUUUUCUACACCAUGGCAAAAUUAACCUUUAUUGCCAUGGCCAAUUUACCUUUUAUUUCCCAUGAAUUUUUUUAUUUAAUUUACAUGGCAAUUUUAAUUUUUGUCACUAAUGGCAAACAUACUUCUAUGCAGCAUCGCAAGUUUUACUUUUAUUUUGCCAUGGCAAAAAUACUUAGAAAACACGGCAAUUUAUUACUAAACAAUAGAUUGUGCAUUUUUUGCUUUGUGCUUCGACAAAUUUAUAUAGUAAAAAU